rnacentral:rRNA from 1 species
AACGAACGUUAGCGGCGCGCCUAACACAUGCAAGUCGCACGAGAAAGGGCUUCGGCCCCGGUAAAGUGGCGCACGGGUGAGUAACACGUGGGUAAUCUUCCCUCGAGCGGGGGAUAACAUUCCGAAAGGAGUGCUAAUACCGCAUAAGACCACGGACUCGAAAGAGUCUGCGGUCAAAGCUGGCCUCUGUACACAAGCUAGCACUUGAGGAUGAGCCCGCGGCCCAUCAGGCAGUUGGCAGGGUAACGGCCUACCAAACCUAAGACGGGUAGCUGGUCUGGGAGAAUGAUGAGCCACACUGGAGCUGAGACACGGUCCAGACUCCUACGGGAGGCAGCAGUGGGGAAUCUUGCGCAAUGGACGAAAGUCUGACGCAGCGACGCCGCGUGAGUGAUGAAGGCCUUCGGGUUGUAAAGCUCUGUGGGGAGAGAAGAAUUAGUGGAGGCUAAUCACUCCAUGAUGACGGUAUCUCCUUAGCAAGCACCGGCUAACUCUGUGCCAGCAGCCGCGGUAACAC